GAAUGGCUCAGGGGUAGAGCAUCUAUCUGCCCUGCAUGCGGAAGGCUGCAGUUUCAAUCGCUGGCAUCUCCA